CACGGGCAACAAUGAAAAUAUAAUGUCAGGCAGGGGUAAAUUAGUAGUUUCAUGUAGGAAACUCCUAUGAUCUACGUGUCAUUAGCAACUCUCUUCAUCAGUUUAUCUACAGAUUUCCAAGAGAGCGAAGGGUUGAAUCUUCUUGGGACUCUCCAUUUGAUGUCUUCAAUGGAAAAAAUUUCACAUUCAAAAUUUUCAUUUGCAGACUUAUUUCUCUCAUCCAUCCCCUGUAUUUUAGCUUUUCCACGAUGCGUUUGGCCUUGGCCUCCCGGUUCAUUUUAAAUUUUCCCCGUCUGUAAGUGAAUAUCUAAGUUGUGCUUAGUUUCUUCUCUACUUCUUUUUCGAUGAGCAAAAGAUGAACUCACUGACUCGAGAUCAAUUUUAUCUUGCUUUCAAUAUUUAUGUAUUCGGAGGAAACAUUGGUUUUAGGUGGUGUAUGUCGUUUCACCACUGGAUUGUCACAUUGAUUCGGAAAAAAAAGUUUAUAUCGGUUCUUUAUAUGAGCAGGCGCACGUAUCCGUCAUAUUCCAUUUCAACCCUCCUUUUCCAUGUGAAAGUGAGGUAUUAUCAAGUUCACUUGUUCAUAUAAGAACUGUGGCACAAGUUUUAUUUAAACAUCAAUUGAACUUAGUGCAUAGCAUCCUCUCCUCUUUUGUACCCUUUCUUUACAUCAAUUUCUUAUGCCGAGAAGCACAGCCACUGAUUGGUAUUUGAUGCGCAUGGCAUUGUUAGUCUGGCAGCAAAGGUUCCCUACUUGGCUCACAAAAUUGGAGUUAAUCCCAUGCUUCUUUCACUUGCUUUUAGAGCCAAUACAGAGCUUAAUAUGAGGGCGACAAAAGUGGUUUUAUUAGUCAUAGCGUCACUUUGUAUAACCAGAAUACUUUCAGGCAGGCUUCAAGUGUUUUGGAAGAAAUGGUCGUUCUUUUGUUUGUUGAGCAGUUAAGGUGCUAGCAGCUCUGCUUUUUAUUGUGUCUCUCCAAUAUUUUACCUGUUACAUAUUUAACUUCCUGAUAAAAUUGCAGCUGGGGAAUACUACGUUGUCGUUAAUAAUUUUCUUUAUGGUGAUCUUUAUAAUACUGAAAAUGCCGAGUAGUCUAUAUCAAUCUGGAAACAUUAUGUGUUCGGACUUUAUUGCAGUUAACUUAUGUCUACUUAAAUGGU